rfam:Neotoma lepida isolate 417 scaffold_164, whole genome shotgun sequence.
GUGAAGAUGGUUCAGUGGUUAAGAGCACUGGCUGCUUUUUCAGAGGACCUGGGUUCAAUUCCCAGCUCCCCAUG